UGUAACAUUGUCAUAAAGAGCACGUUCAACUUCAUAAAAAAACAUGUUUUCCCAUCUCAAGAGGUUAAAGGUAGACUCAGUGAAGUGACGAGCAACGAGCAGCUGACUAGGUAUCCCCUUUCCCCUUCCCCAGCUCACCUGCUGACUAGGUAUCCCCUUUCCCCUUCCCCAGCUCACCUGCUGACUAGGUAUCUCCUUUCCCCUUCCCCAGCUCACCUGCUGACUAGGUAUCCCCUUUCCCCUUCCCCAGCUCACCUGCUGACUAGGUAUCCCCUUUCCCCUUCCCCAGCUCACCUGCUGACUAGGUAUCUCCUUUCCCCUUCCCCAGCUCACCUGCUGACUAGGUAUCCCCUUUCCCCUUCCCCAGCUCACCUGCUGACUAGGUAUCCCCUUUCCCCUUCCC